GUUCAUUCUGAAUAUUGAUAAUUUAAACAACUUCAGUCAAGAAAACAAUUGUUUUGAUAUUCUAUUUCCAUGUCCAUCACCAGAGUACAAUGAUAUGAUAUUUGCAAUACCAGAUGUAACAACAACGUAUGUGCAACUAGUAAUAGCAGUGGAAGUGACAGUUGUGAAUACCUUUGUUCUUUUGAUAUUUUUACAAAAAGACAACAGAACACCCGUCACCAUUCUUCUGUCAGCUUUGGCUCUAUCUGAUACUACUGCUGCACUCCUUAUGACCGUUCCGCUUUUUAUCGCCAAUCAAAUAUAUGAUAACCGCAGGUAUCAUCAAAAUGGAUAUUCCUGGUUAUUUAUUUUAGAAUUUCCAGAAUGUUUUAUUAUUGAUCUUUCUGCUGCCUUUAGAUAUGCUUUCCAUGUUAUAUCAAUCCUAAUAACCUUACUGUUAUGUCUCCAGAAAACUGCAGCUCUAUUAUUUCCAAUCUGGACCAAAAUACAUCUUAAUAACAGCGUAAGUAUUGUUUGUUCUGUUUUAACGUUUGCCAUUGCCAUUUGCAUAUAUUCUCGGGUUUUCUAUGAUGGUGCAUCUAAGUUUAAAAAUUUCCACGGC
rnacentral:lncRNA from 1 species